rnacentral:rRNA from 1 species
AACCAGCCGGAAACGGCUGCUAAUACCGCAUAAGCGCACGGUACCGCAUGGUACAGUGUGAAAAAACUCCCGGUGGUAUGGGAUGGAUCCGCGUCUGAUUAGCCAGUUGGCGGGGUUAACGGGCCCACCAAGGCGACGAUCAGUAGCCGGUCUGAGAGGAUGAACGGCCACAUUGGGACUGAGACACGGCCCCAGACUCCUACGGGAGGCAGCAGUGGGGAAUCUUGCACAAUGGGGGAAACCCUGAUGCAGCGACGCCGCGUGAACGAAGAAGUAUUUCGGUAUGUAAACGUUCUAUCAGCAGGGAAGAUAAUGACGGUACCUGACUAAGAAGCACCGGCUAAAUACGUG